rnacentral:rRNA from 1 species
GACGAACGCUGGCGGCGUGCUUAACACAUGCAAGUCGUACGGUAAGGCCCUUUCGGGGGUACACGAGUGGCGCACGGGUGCGUAACACGUGUGUAACCUGCCCACAACUUUGGGAUAACGCUAGGAAACUGGUGCUAAUACUGGAUAUGUUCUCCUGCUGCAUGGUGGGGGUUGGAAAGCUCCGGCGGUUGUGGAUGGACUUGCGGCCUAUCAGCUUGUUGGUGGGGUAGUGGCCUACCAAGGCGGCGACGGGUAGCCGGCCUGAGAGGGUGACCGGCCACAUUGGGACUGAGAUACGGCCCAGACUCCUACGGGAGGCAGCAGUGGGGAAGAUUGCACAAUGGGCGCAAGCCGGAUGCAGCAACGCCGCGUGCGGGAUGACGGCCUUCGGGUUGGAAACCGCUUUCAGCAGGGACGAAGCUUUUUGUGACGGUACCUGCAGAAGAAGCACCGGCUAACUACGUG